AGGAAGUGGUGUGUCCAGGCCAUUCCCACCCCGUUCGGGUUCUUGGGGUCGAACCCGUCCUUGGCCCUCUCCAGGUCCGCCCGAACACCUGUGCGCGCGUAUGCAUGUAUGUAUGCAUGUAUGUAUGUAUGUGUGUAUGUGUGUAUGUAUGUAUGUAUGUAUGUAUGUAUGUAUGUAUGUAUGUGUGUAUGUAUGUAUGUAUGUAUGUAUGUAUGUAUGUAUGUAUGUGUGUGUGUGCGGAGAGGGGGGACACAUCCCAGAGGGAAAAGGGGGUUUAGGGGGAACCCAGGAAGAGGAAGCGGGAGGGCGAGAGGGACAGGGGCACCCGGGCCGCUGACCAGAGGGCAGUGACCGGACGUGAGCCAGUCGGUCAAGGGGGGGCUGGGAAAUGAAACUGGAAGGGUGGUGGGUGGUGAGCGGUGAGGCGGCUUGCUCAGGUGAUGCCUUGGCGGGAUGUGUGCGGGCUAGCAGCACCAGCACCCGCAAUAGUAGCAGUAGCAACAGCACCGGUAGGGGGAGAGUGGAGGGUGAUGCAAAGUGCGUAGACAGGGUUUUAGGAGGGAAGGGAGGUGCACUGGGGGCCCCUAACGGGGUCUGCAACUGCUGGGAUGGCCGGAGCCCAAAGCGAUGCCGAGCGGGACAAGUGGCGAGCAGUGCCAGUAUUGGUCAGAGAGGCAGCAUGGCGAGGCGGUGAGGGGUUGCGUCAGCUGGGCGGAUAGACAUGUGGGAGGGAGGAAAUGGGAGGAAAGAGGACGUGCCUGCAACGGCGCCGCGCGCUGGCGGGGCGGGCCCCUUGGGGCCGCGCCCGAAGAUGGCAUCCAUGGCCGCGACCAAGUCAACGCCUCCUCCCUUCUAGCGCCACAUAGCACGGUCCUUGGUUUGCAGAGUUCGCGAGGCAAGGGAAAUGACGACGCCGAUGAAGCUACUGCGAUUUCGUAUGAUUUAAAUACGGCUAGAUGUCAACACAAAUUGAGGAGCCUUUUGGUUGAGCGUUUUUUUAUUUAGCGCAGGAUUGUGUAGAACCGAGUUCUGAGGAAUUCAUUGUGGUGAGCCCACAAUAACUCUAUCAUCUAG
rnacentral:lncRNA from 1 species